AGUGAACGCUGGCGGUAGGCCUAACACAUGCAAGUCGAACGGCAGCACAGUAAGAGCUUGCUCUUACGGGUGGCGAGUGGCGGACGGGUGAGGAAUACAUCGGAAUCUACUUUUUCGUGGGGGAUAACGUAGGGAAACUUACGCUAAUACCGCAUACGACCUACGGGUGAAAGCAGGGGAUCUUCGGACCUUGCGCGAUUGAAUGAGCCGAUGUCGGAUUAGCUAGUUGGCGGGGUAAAGGCCCACCAAGGCGGCGAUCCGUAGCUGGUCUGAGAGGAUGAUCAGCCACACUGGAACUGAGACACGGUCCAGACUCCUACGGGAGGCAGCAGUGGGGAAUAUUGGACAAUGGGCGCAAGCCUGAUCCAGCCAUACCGCGUGGGUGAAGAAGGCCUUCGGGUUGUAAAGCCCCUUUGUUGGGAAAGAAAAGCAGCAGGUUAAUACCCCGCUGUUCUGACGGUACCCAAAGAAUAAGCACCGGCUAACUUCGUG
rnacentral:rRNA from 1 species